GAUGAACGCUGGCGGCGUGCCUAAUACAUGCAAGUCGAGCGAACGGACGAGAAGCUUGCUUCUCUGAUGUUAGCGGCGGACGGGUGAGUAACACGUGGAUAACCUACCUAUAAGACUGGGAUAACUUCGGGAAACCGGAGCUAAUACCGGAUAAUAUUUUGAACCGCAUGGUUCAAAAGUGAAAGACGGUCUUGCUGUCACUUAUAGAUGGAUCCGCGCUGCAUUAGCUAGUUGGUAAGGUAACGGCUUACCAAGGCAACGAUGCAUAGCCGACCUGAGAUGGUGAUCGGCCACACUGAACUGAGACACGGUCCAGACUCCUACGGGAGGCAGCAGUAGGGAAUCUUCCGCAAUGGGCGAAAGCCUGACGGAGCAACGCCGCGUGAGUGAUGAAGGUCUUCGGAUCGUAAAACUCUGUUAUUAGGGAAGAACAUAUGUGUAAGUAACUGUGCACAUCUUGACGGUACCUAAUCAGAAAGCCACGGCUAACUACGUG
rnacentral:rRNA from 1 species